AGUAAGGAAUAUUGGGCAAUGGUCGGAAGACUGACCCAGCCAUGCCGCGUGCAGGAAGAAGGCCCUAUGGGUUGUAAACUGCUUUAGCCAGGGGCUAAACCUACCGAUGCGUUGGUAGCUGAAGGUACCUGGAGAAUAAGCAUCGGCUAACUCCGUGCCAGCAGCCGCGGUAAUACGGAGGAUGCGAGCGUUAUCCGGAUUUACUGGGUUUAAAGGGUGCGCAGGCGGUUGUUUAAGUCAGGGGUGAAAUUCCGGGGCUCAACCCUGGGACUGCCUUUGAUACUGAACAGCUAGAGUGAAGAUGGAGUGGGUGGAAUGUGUUGUGUAGCGGUGAAAUGCAUAGAUAUAACACAGAACACCGAUCGCGAAGGCAGCUCACUAAACUUCAACUGACGCUCAUGCACGAAAGCGUGGGGAUCAAACAGGAUUAGAUACCCUGGUAGUCCACGCUGUAAACGAUGAUCACUAGCUGUUGGGCCGUAUAGGCUCAGUGGUUAAGCGAAAGUGAUAAGUGAUCCACCUGGGGAGUACGACCGCAAGGUUGAAACUCAAAGGAAUUGACGGGGGCCCGCACAAGCGGAGGAGCAUGUGGUUUAAUUCGAUGAUACGCGAGGAACCUUACCAGGGCUCGAAUGCAGGGGGAAUAUAUCUGAAAGGGUAUAGCCAGCGAUGGCCGCCUGCGAGGUGCUGCAUGGUUGUCGUCAGCUCGUGCCGUGAGGUGUCAGGUUAAGUCCUAUAACGAGCGCAACCCCUAUUCAUAGUUGCCAGCGGGUAAAGCCGGGGACUCUAUGGAAACUGCCUGCGCAAGCAGGGAGGAAGGAGGGGAUGACGUCAAAUCAGCACGGCCCUUAUGUCCUGGGCUACACACGUGCUACAAUGGCCGGUACAGAGGGCAGCGACCGCGUGAGUGGGAGCCAAUCCUAGAAAGCCGGUCUCAGUUCGGAUUGGAGUCUGCAACCCGACUCCAUGAAGUUGGAUUCGCUAGUAAUCGCGCAUCAGCCAUGGCGCGGUGAAUACGUUCCCGGGCCUUGUACACACCGCCCGUCAAGCCAUGGGAGCUGGGGGUGCCUGAAGUCCGUGAUCCUAAGGGAAGCGGCCUAGGGUAAACUCAGUGACUGGGGCU
rnacentral:rRNA from 1 species